GGUGGUGUAGCUUAGUCAUAGAGUGCUUGCCUAGAGAACACAAGGCCCUGGGUUCCAUGCCCAGCACUACCA
rnacentral:tRNA from 1 species